GUACACUCCUGCGGGAGGCAGCAGUGGGGAAUAUUGGACAAUGGGCGCAAGCCUGAUCCAGCCAUGCCGCGUGAGUGAUGAAGGCCCUAGGGUUGUAAAGCUCUUUCACCGGUGAAGAUAAUGACGGUAACCGGAGAAGAAGCCCCGGCUAACUUCGUGCCAGCAGCCGCGGUAAUACGAAGGGGGCUAGCGUUGUUCGGAUUUACUGGGCGUAAAGCGCACGUAGGCGGACUAUUAAGUCAGGGGUGAAAUCCCGGGGCUCAACCCCGGAACUGCCUUUGAUACUGGUAGUCUUGAGUUCGAGAGAGGUGAGUGGAAUGCCGAGUGUAGAGGUGAAAUUCGUAGAUAUUCGGAGGAACACCAGUGGCGAAGGCGGCUCACUGGCUCGAUACUGACGCUGAGGUGCGAAAGCGUGGGGAGCAAACAGGAUUAGAAACCCUUGUAGUCCC
rnacentral:rRNA from 1 species